rnacentral:sRNA from 1 species
CAGCACGCUCAGUAAAAGCGCUGAAGAGUGCCAUCCGCCACUGCCGCUACGCUGUAGGCGCUGAGUCCGAUUCACCGCUGUAGCACUGCGGCAUACAUGGCCAGCAUGAGAAAUCGCGGGCAAUAAAAAGCCCCGCAGACCAGGGGGAGGUCGGCGGGGCCAGGG